rnacentral:tRNA from 2 species
GGUAAAGUGGCCGAGCAGGUGGCGGGUUGUAGCCCCGAAGACGGAGGUUCGAGUCCUCCCUUUACCA